UACGUAGGGGGCAAGCGUUGUCCGGAAUCAUUGGGCGUAAAGAGCGUGUAGGCGGCCAGGUAGGUCUGCUGUGAAAGUCGGGGGCUCAACCCUCGAAUGCCGGUGGAUACUGUCGGGCUAGAGUGCGGAAGAGGCGAGUGGAAUUCCUGGUGUAGCGGUGAAAUGCGCAGAUAUCAGGAAGAACACCCGUGGCUAAGGCGGUUCUCUAGUACGGUACUGACGCUGAGACGCGAAAGCGUGGGGAGCGAACAGG
rnacentral:rRNA from 1 species